AUGGAGUUAAACACAGUGACUUCUCCCAGCAGUAGCAUAAUAUGGGUGACACCAGAUAUCGAAGGCAAACCCCUCAAAAUGGAGCUGGACACAGGAUCUGCAGUGUCUAUAAUUUCCACUACCGUCUACAAUGAGCACUUUAAGGCUAUCAAGCUGAAGAACACAAAUGUGUUGCUGAAGACAUACUCAGGAGAGAGAUUGAGCCCAAUGGGGGCAUUGCAGGUCAGAGUGCAUUAUGGGGGGCAAACACAGCAGUUACAGCUGUAUGUGGUGCCUGGAACUGCCCCCCCAUUAUUUGGCAGGGAAUGGCUUUCAAAAAUAAAGCUGAAUUGGUGUGACUUGAAAAUGCUCCACACGUUCCAGUCCAAAGAGAAAGGCACAGACCAAACACUGGAACACUUGCGGAAGAAAAACAACACAGUUUUCAGUGAUCAGAUGGGAACAGUAAAAGGCUUCACAGCAAAACUUGUACUAAGAGAUGAUGCAACCCCCAAAUUCUGUAAAGCCAGAUCUGUUCCAUACUCCCUGAGACCAAAGGUGGAAGCGGAAAUCGAUCGCUUGCAGGAUACAGUGAUCCUGACGAAAGUGGACAGAAGCGAAUGGGCCACACCCAUAGUUCCUAUUGUGAAGAAAGACGGAUCUGUUAGAAUGUGUGGGGACUUCAAGGUAACUGUGAAUUCAAUGUUGCAUGUGGACCAAUACCCCCUACCACGCCUGGAUGACAUCUUUGCUGCACUAGCUGGGGGGAAACACUUCAGUAAAAUCGAUCUGAAACAGGCUUACCUGCAGCUACCGGUUGAAGAGAGUUCCAAACAGUACCUGACAAUAAACACACACAAAGGUCUAUACAGGUAUAACCGCCUGGUUUUUGGCAUUGCAUCAGCCCCAGCCAUUUGGCAACGAACUAUUGACCAGAUUUUGCAAGGAAUCCCAGGAACCCAGUGUAUCCUGGAUGACAUUAUCAUAACAGGACGCACCGACAAAGAGCACCUGGCUAACCUGGAAGAGGUCCUGAAAAGACUGAAAGAGUAUGGUCUACAGGCAAACUUAAAGAAGUGUGAGUUCUUCAAAGACAAGAUUGUCUUCUGUGGACAUGAGAUUGACUGCAAUGGAUUGCACAAAACACAGGACAAAAUUGAGGAACCACGACCACAAAAUAUCACAGAAGUGAGAUCUUUCACGGGACUGAUCAAUUACUACAGAAGAUUCCUCCCAAACCUUUCAGCAGUACUCCAGCCUCUAAGUCAGCUCCUGGAAAAGAAUAGGACAUGGCGGUGGACAGGACAGUGUGAAAAUGCAUUUUUGGAGGCAAAACGGCUCAUAACAUCUGAACAGGUCCUGAUGCAUUUACGACCCUGA
rnacentral:lncRNA from 1 species